GGCUCGGGGCGCUGAUGUGGGGGGGUCGCGGGGUCCCCCCCUUUAUCGCCGUGCCCCCCAGGAGGGGCCGGGAGCUGCAGGAAGCCCGGCAGGGCCAGGUGUGGGGUGGCAGCCUAGGACCUGCCCUCGUUGGGGUUGUACUCCGUCUCGCCAGCCGAAACCUGCGAGAUGCGGCGCGUGGAGCGCCACAGCCGCCGGUGGAACUGGCCCGGACGCACCUAGGGGAGAGGGGGGUUAAGAACCCACCCCAUGACCCAUCCCUUUCCAUGUCCCCGUCCCCAUCCCCUUCCAUUUUCCCACCCCUAUCCUCAUGCACAGCUGCAUGCUCACCCUUUCUCAAUUCCCAUCCCCAGUCCUGUCUCCAUCCCGUUCCAAUUCCCAUCCUUAUCCUUUCUGCAUCCUCUUCCCCAUCCCCAUCUCCAAUCCCUUCUUUAUCCCUACCCACAACCCCUAUCUGAAUCCCCAUUCCCAUCCAAACCCCAUCUCCUUCCUUGUGCGAAUCCCCAUCCCAUCCUGUCCCACUCCAUGACAUUCAUCCCGCCUGUCCCACCCUACCCCAAUACAUCCCAAUCCAUCCCACUCCAACCCUCUCAUCCCACCCCAAUCCAUCUAUCCCAUCCAAAUCCAAACCAUCCCAUCCCAUCUCAACUCAACCCAACCCACCUAUCCCAUCCCAUUCCAUCCCAAUCCUACCCAGCCCAACCCAACUCAACCCACCCAUCCCAUCCAAAUCAUCCCAUCCCAUCCCAACUCAACCCAACCCACCUAUCCCAUCCCAUUCCACCCCAAUCCAACCCAGCCCAACCCACCCUUCCCAUCCCAAUCCAAGCCAUCCCAUCCCAACUCAACCUAAUCCUCCCAUCCCAUCCCAAUCCAACAAAACCCAACCCAACAAAAUCCACCCAUCCCAUCCCAAUCCAAGCCAUCCCAUCCCAACGCAACCCAACCCACCCAUCCCAUUCCAUCCCAAUCCAACACACCCCAACCCAACUCAACCCACCCAUCCCAUCCUAAUCCAAGCCACCCCAUCCCAUCCCAACCCAUCCCAAUCCAACCCACCCCAACCCACCCAUCCAUCCCAUCCAAAUCCAAGCCAUCCCAUCCUAUCCCAUCCCAACUCAACCCACCCAUC
rnacentral:lncRNA from 1 species